UAUAUAUAAUUGUAAGGUGCACGAAAAUUUUUGAUUUUUUUUUGAAUGUUUGAAGUCCGUUGGGUAUAA
rnacentral:tRNA from 1 species